ACGCUCGACACCUACGGGAGGCAGCAGUUGGGAAUAUUGGACAAUGGAGGAAACUCUGAUCCAGUGACGCCGCGUGAAGGAAGAAGGUCUUCGGAUUGUAAACUUAUUUUGUUAGGGAAGAAAAAAUGACUGUACCUGAAGAAAAAGCACCGGCUAACUACGUGCCAGUAGCCGCGGUAAUCUGAGCGGGCUGGCAAGGC
rnacentral:rRNA from 1 species